ACACCAUGGUGUGGGCAAUUCUUCAACAAAAUUUUAAACUGAUUGAAUGCUUCAUGAAAUAACUCACCAGAUUUUUGUUGGAAAUUCCUGAUAUCUUUUUGGGCAU
rfam:Helianthus annuus linkage group 4, whole genome shotgun sequence.